rnacentral:rRNA from 1 species
AUUGAACGCUGGCGGCAGGCCUAACACAUGCAAGUCGAGCGAGCGGCGGACGGGUGAGUAAUGUAUGGGGAUCUGCCUGAUGGAGGGGGAUAACUACUGGAAACGGGGGCUAAUACCGCAUACUAUCGGAUGAACCCAGAUGGGAUUAGCUAGGAGGUGGGGUAAAGGCGCACCAAGGCGACGAUCCCUAGCUGGUCUGAGAGGAUGACCAGCCACACUGGAACUGAGACACGGCCCAGACUCCUACGGGAGGCAGCAGUGGGGAAUAUUGCACAAUGGGCGCAAGCCUGAUGCAGCCAUGCCGCGUGUAUGAAGAAGGCCUUAGGGUUGUAAAGUACUUUCAGCGGGGAGGCGUUACCCGCAGAAGAAGCACCGGCUAACUCCGUGCCAGCAGCCGCGGUAAUUC